GACGAACGCUGGCGGCGUGCUUAACACAUGCAAGUCGAGCGGUAAGGCCCUUUCGGGGGUACGACGAGCGGCGAACGGGUGAGUAACACGUGGGUGACCUGCCCUCAGCUCUGGGAGUAAGCCUGGGAAACUAGGGUCUAAUACUGGAUAUGACUCCACGGUGCAUGUCGUGGGGUGGAAAGCCUUGUGCGGCUGAGGAUGGGCCCGCGGCCUAUCAGCUUGUUGGUGGGGUGANGGCCUACCAAGGCGACGACGGGUAGCCGGCCUGAGAGGGCGACCGGCCACACUGGGACUGAGACACGGCCCAGACUCCUACGGGAGGCAGCAGUGGGGAAUCUUGCGCAAUGGGCGAAAGCCUGACGCAGCGACGCCGCGUGAGGGAUGACGGCCU
rnacentral:rRNA from 1 species